ACUCAGCUCUCUGAGGCCGCCAAGAAGAGACUCUACAAGAAAGAGUAAGACAUCAACAUCUACUCCAAUUCCACUCCAGGAACAUCCUCCUGCACAUCAUCCUCACCUGUAGUGUCACCACUGCGUUGGAUAAAAUAAACUAGGAACUCUGAAGAGAUUAUUCUAGUGGUGUAGGGGUAGGGGAAAUCACCAGAUACCCUAUCAAAAAAUUAAUGCGAACAUAUGGUUCUAUAAUCUGUCACACAGUUCUUAUUUCAAGUAUAAAAUACUUGGCCAAAUAGUUCACUUCCUAACCCAAAAUUUCCCCCCUCAUUUUUUUGUACCCUAUCAGGCAUGUGUUAUGGAAUGCCACAGACAUGGGAUGCCAUACAACACUUAACUUGCAGCUUUAGAGCUCAAAAGUAACAUGGUCAGCCCCAAUUCAUGUUGAAAAGAUCUCAAGUUGCAGUGUUGUGGCUCUCCCCCUCAUACCCCAUCACUGGAACAGCUAAGCUAAGAUUUUGGACUGCCUAUUUUUGUAAAUCUUUAUUUAAGAAGUAGGCAUUGGCAUACUUCCUUCUGUGAAUAUCACAGAAUACUAGAAAGGCCACUUGAAGACACUGGUCAAGGGGCACUGUCCAGAUGAACCACUCUGAAUUGGCUUCUAAGGGGAUGCAUCCUAUAGCCUGCAUCUGCAGUGACUCUAAAGAUAUUUCUUCCACUUAGGACAGUAAAACACAACAUCACCAUGGAUUUUUGACAGUAAAGAAGGCACAGCUGUAGGCUAUUUAGUUCUUCCUAAAUCUAAGCCAGCACACCAACAGGCUCUAAGCAAUGAACAACAGCAAAGAGGCCUGUUUGGAACACCUCACAGUGUAAACCACCAGCGACGUACUGCAGUCCUCACUAGGAAUUGGGCAGUUCUUGUGGCUCCAGUCCUGCACCAGGCAGGGAGCAUCCCCAUUCCUGCCUCCUCCACGUAGAAGAAAGAGAUGAUACAGCCCUUAAAUGCACAUGGAUCUUCCCACUCUAUGACCCCAGCAAAAGCAACCAGCGUCUGAUGGAUAGAAAGGAGAAGACAGUCCUGACUUCCACUUGUGUUGACUCGUAUUGUAAUGGUGCAAGUCCUUUUUCUCUACACUGGAGUUGAUGAAAGCCGAAGUGGCGAGUACACAAACUGGCUCUUCACAUGUUUUUAGGCACGACUCCCAGCAAACUGGAGCACACAUCAGAGCCUGUCUACUAUGCAUCACCUAGCAAAAAUGAGGAGAGCAAAGGAUGACAUCUUCCUCCAGUCCAGCUGGGGUUCCUCUGCCAAGAAAAGGCAGGAGGAGUUUUGUGCUUGUAGCAAAUGAAGCAGUGGAAACAGAGCAGAAACGCACCAGAAGGAAAUCUCCCCCACAUGCUUUGUCAUCGCAUUUGGUCGAAAACCAUGGCUGCUAACCUCGCCUUGUGCCACCUCCAGAGACUUGGAACCAUGCUGCUGGAAUCAGACGGCGAGUUUCUGUCAAGCACAAAUAUAUCUACAGAGCCUCUCUGUGAACCCAGACGUGCGUAUGCUAAAAGCCAUAACCCUUUUGCAGACCAAUAAAGUCUGCCUCCCUUCUAAAUCCUUUUUCAGAAACACUGAACUUUUAACAUAAACACCUACAUCAAAAAUUUGGCAUAACUGUACCCCUCCUAAAUGGUUUUCUGUGUUUAAAAAAACUCCAAAUAAAUAUUCUGGGUUACAACAUGUAUCUUUCCUAGAGUGUAACUUUAAAAGAGUGAAACUAUAGCUCCCUACUACUAAAUAAAGCUGUGAUUUGCCCAA